rnacentral:lncRNA from 1 species
ACUUGUCCUUCACCUUGAUUUGCCCCAUCAUGUUCGGAUGAUUUUCCCUCUAAACAGAUUUGUCUUAGGACACAAGCGAGCGCUACACCCACCACAAUCAAGCCUAUAAUAACAUAAAUGAUUGGCAAUGGAAUAUGCAACAUAUUGGAAUUUCAACUAGAAAGAAGACAAUAUUUUAUUUUGUGUGACGAUGGAAUGCAUAGAGGAGGGAACAAGAGACCCCUAUUUAUAGUUUACAACAAGUAUUGAAUUCUUGGAAAGAAAUAAAAGACGAAGUAGGAAGAACUAGGUAAUUUUUCCUUAUUACUAACGAAAAAAAAUAACCAUGUAGUUGUGGU